UACGGAGGAGGCAAGCGUUAUCCGGAAUUAUUGGGCGUAAAGCGUCCGUAGGUGGUUUAGUAAGUCUGCUGUUAAAGCGCGGGGCUUAACUCCGUAUCGGCAGUGGAAACUACUAGACUAGAGUGUGGUAGGGGUAGAGGGAAUUCCCAGUGUAGCGGUGAAAUGCGUAGAUAUUGGGAAGAACACCGGUGGCGAAGGCGGAUCUCUGGGCCAUUACUGACGCUGAGGAGCGAAAGCGUGGGGAGCGAACAGG
rnacentral:rRNA from 1 species